CGACAUCACCUGGGGUGAUGGCCGUGGUAAGAUCCUCCAGAACGGCCAACUGCUCAUCCUCUCCCUAGACAAAUCUUCCGGUUCUGGCUUCCAAUCAAAAAAAGAAUUCCUCUUUGGAAAGGUGGACAUGCAGCUCAAACUUGUCCCUGGCAACUCUGCUGGCACCGUCACUACCCUCUAUCUCUCCUCUCAAGGCAGCAACCAUGACGAGAUUGAUUUCGAGUUCCUCGGAAAUUCCACCGGUGAGCCCUACACCCUCCACACCAAU
rnacentral:misc_RNA from 1 species